UGCAGUCGAACGGCAGCAUAGGUGCUUGCACCUGAUGGCGAGUGGCGAAGGGGUGAGUAAUGCAUCGGAACGUGCCCAGUCGUGGGGGAUAACGCAGCGAAAGCUGUGCUAAUACCGCAUACGAUCUAUGGAUGAAAGCGGGGGACCUUCGGGCCUCGCGCGAUUGGAGCGGCCGAUGUUAGAUUAGGUAGUUGGUGAGGUAAAGGCUCACCAAGCCUACGAUCUAUAGCUGGUCUGAGAGGACGACCAGCCACACUGGAACUGAGACACGGUCCAGACUCCUACGGGAGGCAGCAGUGGGGAAUUUUGGACAAUGGGCGAAAGCCUGAUCCAGCAAUACCGCGUGCAGGAAGAAGGCCUUCGGGUUGUAAACUGCUUUUGUACGGAACGAAACGGUCUAGAUUAAUACUCUGGGCUAAUGACGGUACCGUAAGAAUAAGCACCGGCUAACUACGUGCCAGCAGCCGCGGUAAUACGUAGGGUGCAAGCGUUAAUCGGAAUUACUGGGCGUAAAGCGUGCGCAGGCGGUUUUGUAAGACAGGCGUGAAAUCCCCGGGCUCAACCUGGGAAUUGCGCUUGUGACUGCAAGGCUAGAGUACGG
rnacentral:rRNA from 1 species